GACGAACGCUGGCGGCGUGCCUAAUACAUGCAAGUAGAACGCUGAAGAGAGGAGCUUGCUCUUCUUGGAUGAGUUGCGAACGGGUGAGUAACGCGUAGGUAACCUGCCUUGUAGCGGGGGAUAACUAUUGGAAACGAUAGCUAAUACCGCAUAACAAUGGAUGACACAUGUCAUUUAUUUGAAAGGGGCAAUUGCUCCACUACAAGAUGGACCUGCGUUGUAUUAGCUAGUAGGUGAGGUAAUGGCUCACCUAGGCGACGAUACAUAGCCGACCUGAGAGGGGGAUCCGCCACACUGGGACUGGGACCCGGCCCAGGCUCCCACGGGAGGCAGCAGUAGGGAAUCUUCGGCAAUGGGGGCAACCCUGACCGAGCAACGCCGCGUGAGUGAAGAAGGUUUGCGGAUCGUAAAGCUCUGUUGUAAGUCAAGAACGGGUGUGAGAGUGGAAAGUUCACACUGUGACGGUAGCUUACCAGAAAGGGACGGCUAACUACG
rnacentral:rRNA from 1 species